rnacentral:rRNA from 1 species
GCCCUUCGGGGCUCUAGCACAGGUGCUGCAUGGCUGUCGUCAGCUCGUGUCGUGAGAUGUUGGGUUAAGUCCCGCAACGAGCGCAACCCUUACCCGUAGUUGCCAGCGGGUUAUGCCGGGGACUCUACGGGGACUGCCGGUGAUAAACCGGAGGAAGGUGAGGACGACGUCAAGUCAUCAUGGCCCUUACGCCCAGGGCGACACACGUGCUACAAUGGCCGGUACAAUGGGCCGCGAUCCCGCGAGGGUGAGCCAAUCCCAAAAAGCCGGCCUAAGUUCGGAUCGGAGUCUGCAACUCGACUCCGUGAAGCCGGAAUCGCUAGUAAUCGCGGAUCAGCCAUGCCGCGGUGAAUACGUUCCCGGGCUUUGUACACACCGCCCGUCACGCCAUGGAAGCCGGGGGGACCCGAAGUCAGUGGCCCAACCCUUCGGGGAGGGAGCUGCCGAAGGUCAAUCCGGUGACUGGGGCGAAGUCGUAACAAGGUAGCCGUAGGGGAACCUGCGGCUGGAUCACCUCCUUUCUAAGGAG